GAAAGAUUAAUACCGGAUGGCAUACGAAUAUCGCAUGANAUUUUUAUUUAAAGAAUUUCGGUUAUCGAUGGGGAUGCGUUCCAUUAGUUUGUUGGCGGGGUAACGGCCCACCAAGACUACGAUGGAUAGGGGUUCUGAGAGGAAGGUCCCCCACAUUGGAACUGAGACACGGUCCAAACUCCUACGGGAGGCAGCAUG
rnacentral:rRNA from 1 species